rnacentral:rRNA from 1 species
ACCGUUUGAUCCUGGCUCAUCACGAACGCUGGCGGCAGGCUUAAUACAUGCAAGUCGAACGGCUGUAGCAAUACAGCAGUGGCAGACGGGUGAGUAACACGUGGGAACCUACCUAGGGGUACGGAAUAACUCAGGGAAACUUGUGCUAAUACCGUAUACGACCUCAGGGUGAAAGAUUUAUCGCCCCUAGAUGGGCCCGCGCUGGAUUAGCUAGUUGGUGGGGUAAAAGCCUACCAAGGCGACGAUCCAUAGCUGGUCUGAGAGGAUGAUCAGCCACACUGGGACUGAGACACGGCCCAUACUCCUACGGGAGGCAGCAGUAGGGAAUCUUGGACAAUGGGCGAAAGCCUGAUCCAGCCAUGCCGCGUGAGUGAUGAAGGCCUUAGGGUUGUAAAGCUCUUUCGCCAGGGAAGAUAAUGACGGUACCUGGAUAAGAAGCCCCGGCUAACUUCGUGCCAGCAGCCGCGGUAAUACGAAGGGGGCUAGCGUUGUUCGGAAUUACUGGGCGUAAAGCGCACGUAGGCGGCAUUCCAAGUUGGAGGUGAAAUCCC